UUCACGUCACUCCCCUUCCCCCCCGGAAAUCUGAAGAAGAAAAAGAAGAAGAAGCAUCUUCCAAGUUCUACAUAUGAGCAGGACAAGAUUCAGCCCCAUUUUUAGUAGAGGUACAGUAUCUCUUUUCUAAGCAUAUGGAAGGAAAAGAGUUUGAUUUGCUCAAGAGGGCAAUGUGUCAGGAGUAGGGAGACUUGGAUUCCAUUUCUAAUUUGAACACAAAUUCAGUUCAACAAAUUUUUAUUAGAAUCCUGCUAUGUGCAAAAGUAGUAUGUUAUGUUCUGGGAAUACAAAGACAAAAAUGAAAACCAGUACUUGCCCUCAGGAAGCUCACAUUCUAUUGGAGGAAUAAUUUAUCCCUUUGAAACUUCAGUAUGUAUUUACAAGAGGAAAUAAAGUAGAAGAACCCCACGGGGAAGGUAACAAUACUUCAUACCAGAUGGUUGAAACUAUCUCUUGGAGUUUCCUGGAUCAUUUCCCAGUGAUAUGUUGACCAAGUUGCUUCUUUAAAACUGUUUUCUAGAUGCCUUUGUGAUGCUUUGGAAGAACUUGUGCUACUGACUGAAACUGUGUUGUGGUAUUUGUCCUGAUUGAAUCCAUGGAUCUGCUCAAGCUGGGGCCAUUUGUUUGUAAAGUUCUCUCUCUGUCUCUCUAUCUCUACUUGUCUCUUUCUCUUUCUGUCUCUCUGUGUUUCUCUCCAUCUCUCUCUUUCUCUCUCUCCAUUCUUACUGGCUUGAUUACAUUUUCAAGUCUUCUGCAUAUUGUUUGUACUAUUUUGUUUUAUAUCCUUAGAAGUAGUAGUACCUUUAUAUCUUUGAGAGAAAUAUGAACUGUGGCUUCUCAACCUGUUAGGGAGGUUUCCUGCUAAGAGCAGUAAUAAAUAUAUUAAAAUUGGUUUGACCAAGAAGGAAACUCAAGUCCAGAAAGCAUUCAUGGUAAAAUGAAGAAAAUGCCCAUCUCAUCUUCUCAAUCUUUGAUUGAUAGAGAUAAAUGGCCAAAGAAGUUUCCUGUGUUAUUUUUACCACAUGGGCUAUU